CAGCCGCCGCGGGAAUACGUAGGUGGCAAGCGUUGUCCGGAAUUAUUGGGCGUAAAGCGCGCGCAGGCGGAUAGGUCAGUCUGUCUUAAAAGUUCGGGGCUUAACCCCGUGAUGGGAUGGAAACUGCCAAUCUAGAGUAUCGGAGAGGAAAGUGGAAUUCCUAGUGUAGCGGUGAAAUGCGUAGAUAUUAGGAAGAACACCAGUGGCGAAGGCGACUUUCUGGACGAAAACUGACGCUGAGGCGCGAGAGCCAGGGGAGCGAACGGGAUUAGAUACCCCCGUAGUCCCUGUCUCUUAUACA
rnacentral:rRNA from 1 species